AACGAACGCUGGCGGCAUGCCUAACACAUGCAAGUCGAACGAGGCCUUCGGGUAUCGUGGCGCACGGGUGCGUAACGCGUGGGAACCUGCCCUUAGGUUCGGAAUAACUCCCCGAAAGGGGUGCUAAUACCGGAAAAUGUCUUCGGACCAAAGAUUUAUCGCCUUUGGAUGGGCCCGCGUUGGAUUAGCUGGUUGGUAGGGUAAAAGCCUACCAAGGCGACGAUCCAUAGCUGGGCUGAGAGGAUGAUCAGCCACACUGGGACUGAGACACGGCCCAGACUCCUACGGGAAGCAGCAGUGGGGAAUAUUGGACAAUGGGCGAAAGCCUGAUCCAGCAAUGCCGCGUAAGUGAUGAAGGCCUUAGGGUUGUAAAGCUCUUUUACCCGGGAUGAUAAUGACAGUACCGGGAGAAUAAGCUCCGGCUAACUCCGUG
rnacentral:rRNA from 1 species